UGGGGGCCAUGGCAGUAGGGGUGUUGCUGUCACAGUUUUUUUCAGUGCCCACCAGCAGACCUACUCAGGUGGGGUGAGGUUGUUGGGGGCUUUGACCCCUGGUAGUCACCUCCAUGUUACCAGAGAGACCACCCCUGCCCAUCCAAGAGCCUGUGGCCUCUUCACAGACAUGCAGCCCCUUGCCAGGCUCCUGCCAAGCAGCCACUAGUUGAGGUAAACCACCCCACCCUUUCCAGGGCCCCAGCCACUUGGGAGGUGCUAAAGGAGUCAGGCCUGACUGCAAAGAGCUCUCCUGUGCUGAGCGCUGCCAGCCCUCACACCGCUGAACUGCCUUACAUGACACCCUUUGGCUCUGCACGCCGUCAUGGGGUGAGUGUUAAUGGCAUCCACAGGCCAGGAGGCUGACGGCGAGGGCCGAGUUCCCCAGGUCCAGAGCUGCUAUGGUAUGACUAGAUAUGAACCGUGGUAGGGAGGUUCGGAGGUCCCACGUUCCAGGAGAGGUCGGGGACAGCCGUGGAAAGCGAGUUUCCCCAGCUGUGUCCUCUCCACAGAUGCCCUCUGCGUGCCCCCGGUGCCUGUGUUUGUACCUGCCAAUUUCGAUUACCUCCCCCCUUGCCAGCACUCAGCUAAGCUCAGAACUGACCCAGGCGGCUGGCACUCCCUGUUCCACUCCCUGGGUUUGCCAACAGGACCCUGAGCACACAAGCAUUUACAGGGCUGGCACGGCUAACGACUCAGAGGCGAUCCUAUCCAGUUCCUAGGAGAGAGAUCAGUACAGCCAAGUGCCUAGCAAGUGCUGGUCUGGAAACGAGCCCGUCGGGGAGCGAAAAGAUCAGAUCUCUGCUCUCGGUUUCACCCCCACCAAAACUGAUUUGUCAUGUCUUCCUGACUCCGUGCGUGGCUCCGGCUGUUGCCUGUAAGUAAUGACCUGUGCUUCAGGUACUGCUUUGCCGCUAAAAAGCACGUUUACCCCCUGAGCAGUGGCUUGGCUGCUCGGGUAUGCAGUGCUCGUCCAGCGAGCACAGCCCUGGAUUUCCUUCCCAACCCCGGGGGAUAAAGAGGAAAAGGUAGGACAGGGAGAUGGUUCAACAGGUGAAGGGGAUGGUCCCACACGUCCAGUGACCUUUGUCUGCUCGUGGGACCCCAGAGCAAAGCGGGAGGAGAACUGGGCUCGGUGGACACCUUUAAUCCCAGCGUGUGGGAAGCAGAGGGCAGUCUGAUCCACACUCCGAGUUCUAGGCCAACCAGGGCUACAUAGUGAGCCCCUGACUCAAAAAUUAAAUUAAAAAAAAAAAAAGAAGUGGAAGGAGAAAACCAUCUGCAGGUCAGCCUCUGGUAUUCCCGAACUCCGUGGUGUGCUCAUCAUACCACACACAAUGAGCUUUAUUGUUAAUUGUGUGAAGGGACAUGGGUAUGUGUGACGGCUGGAGGCAUCAGGUCCCCUGGUACGGAAAUUACAUGCUGUUGUGAGCUGCCUGACAUGUGCUAGGACCUGAACGUGGGUCCUCUGGAAGAGCAGCAGGUGCUCUAGCCGCUGAACCAACUCUCUACCCCAUUAAAAAAAAAAAAAAAAAAAAAAAAUUUUAUUUAAUGUGCAUUACUGUUUUGUCUGCAAGUACAUCUGUAUGAGGGUGUUGGAUCCCCUGCAACUGGAGUUACAGACAGAUGUGAGCUGCCAUGUGGGCGCUGGGAAUUGAACCCGGGACCUCUGCAAGAGCAGCCACUGCUCUUAACCGCUGAGCCAUCUCUCUCAGCCCCCUCCCCUUUUAUUUUUUAAAUUAAAAGGAGGCACAGAUAUGGUUCUAUGUGCCUUUAAUCCCAGCACUCAGGAGGCAGAGUCAAGCAGAUCUCUAUGAAUGUGAGGCCGGCCUGCGCUACGUGGUGAGCUCCGGGCCAGCCAGUGAGACUUUGCCUCCAAUUUUCAAAUUAAUAAACAAAUGGCAGGAGAUGGAGGGAGAGUGCAGUAGGUCUCUGGGUAAAAGCGCUUGCAGCCUGAGUUCGGUCCCCAGGCCCCACACAGGGAGAACCAGUUCCUGCAAAGAAUUAGCUCACCUCCAUGUGUAUCACGGUGCGUGCACAUGCCCGCUCUCUCUCACAAACACUGUCUCUCUCUCUGAAUAAACUGGUGGGAGAGGUGUCUCGGCAGUGAAGAGCACUUGCUGCUCUUCUAUAGGACCAGACUUUGGUUCCCAGCACUGACACUGCACAGCUCACAGCCAUUGGCUUGUGAUCUGACCUCUUCUCUGACCUGCACAGGCUCCUGCAUGCACGUGAAUACACAUACACUCGGCUGCACCUGCGUGUGCGUGCGCACACACGCACGCACACGCACACACACGCACACACAAUUGUAGUAUUUUUUAAAAGCUAGCCUGGGAGCUGGAGAAGACGGCUCAGUGGUUAAGAGCACUGUCUGCUCUUCCAAAGGACCAGGUUCAAUUCCUAGCACCCACACACAUGGCAGCUCACAACCAACUGUAAUGCCAAUUCUAAGGGAUAUGAUACCUUCACACUAAUGCUCGUAAAAUAAAAAUAAAUAAAUAAAAGAUAAAAAAUUAGUUUGGAGCCGGGCAGUAGUGGCACACACCUUUAAUCCCAGUACUUGGGAGGCAGAGACAGGUGGGGCUCUGUGGGUUUGAGGCUAGCUCUGGUCUACAGAGCAAGUUCCAGGACAGCCAGAGCUACAUGACAGAGAGAACCUUUUUCCUCCAACAUAUUUGACUUUUAUCAGUUAUUUGGGAAUUUUAUUGGUUGUUUCUAUUGAUUAUUUGGGAGUUUCAAAUCAUCUAACCCUCAUCACUUUCACUU